GUUCCUCCUCCCCUUCGCUAGCAGCUGCGCUUCGCUCGGGACUGGACCGAGUUAGAGUUGAGACGGCGGAGGAGUAGCGCGGAGUGUGUGCGUCCCCCGCGGGGGGGGGGGUCCGUGCCCGCGAGCCGUGGGGGAGCCGGGCUCCAGCCCAGUUUGGUGCAGCCUUGGCAGAGACCAACAAGGAGAGGGAGCUCCAUUUUUCAGAACACACUGCUUUUGUGGAGGGCAGCAAGCUGAUACAAGAAGAGCAGGUUCCUCACAGGAAAGAAAAUAAAAGCUCUUGGAGCAACUUACUAAGGUAAACAGAUUGCAGUGGAUUUCUGGAUGGGUAAGUAUUGAUGAGCAGGAUAUUCCUACUUCCUCUAUUUACCUUCCUUUAUAAAGGAUUUAUAAAAAAGCACAGAAAACUUUUUAGUCUUUCACAAAAACUCAGUGAUGUCGCUCAUUAGUGUAUACUCCCAAGACAUAGCCAAAUUAUAAUGAAUUACAUCUGUUUUUUCUUGUUGUGUGUAUCAAGAUCGAUUUGACUUACUGUUUUUUAGUACAGAUGUUUUUUAGAGAGACCUUAGGUCCUUCAGCACCUAUUAUGUACUGGUUUGGAAUUACAUGUACAGAAAUUCCUUGAGGUUGCCUUUUAUAUUCUUUUAAAUUCAUGGUAACAUUGACAAUUAUAAAGAACAGAUUCCCCAAACUGAACAAUUACUAAAAGCAAACAGUAACCCCCAGGCAAAGUAGUUGCUGGGGAGGAGCCUGAAGAAGCAUCACUUGCUGUUAAAAAGAAAAGAGAUGAAGUUGUUGAAAGCUGCAGUGGAACAGGAGAUACUAAGUCAAGCUGUCAAAUGAGCUGCCUCUGGUAGUGGAGGUUGCCGCGCACCUUCCGCUGCUCAAUAAUGUAUCUGUUCUCAUCACGUGUAGCAGUUCCAUAUCUCUCUUGCUUACUUCUGUGCUCUAGUUGUAUUGGGGCCACCUAAGGAGCUUUGGCAGUGUGGGGUUGGAGGAAAAUCAGUAAGAUCUCAAAGUUGUUAUGCAGAACAACAUUGGUUUUUUGUUUUUUUUUCUUUGUUGUUAGGCACUUGGAUGUAUGCUUCAGUCUAAU
rnacentral:lncRNA from 1 species